GCCGGCGGCCGGUGGCCCUUCGGUCAUUUCUAUUCUAGGGGCACUGGGUCAUCGCGCCGGGCCGGCCCCCUCCCCCGGGCCCGGAGGGUGUGUCCCCCUCACAGGGGCUCGCCGCGCCUAUAAGGGGCCCGAGCGGCGGGCAGGGACAUGCAGCUCUACAGCAGCGUCUGCACCCACUACCCAGCCGGGGGACCGGGUCCCACGGCCGCAGCGCCCGCUCCUCCCGCCGCCGCCGCCGCCGCCGCCGCCGCCGCCGCCCCCUUCAAGGUCUCGCUGCAGCCCCCGGGCCCCGCCAGCGGCGAGCCAGAGCCCGAGACCGGUGAGUGCCAGCCUGCCGCGGCCGCCGAGCCCCGAGAAGCCGCCGCCGCCGCCGCCGCCCCCGCCGCCAAGAUGCCCGCCUUCUCCUCCUGCUUCGAGAUGGUGUCCGGGGCCGCCGCCCCCGCCGCGGCCGCCGCCGGCCCGCCCGGCGGGUCCUGCAAGCCGCCGCUGCCGCCGCACUACACGUCCACGGCGCAGAUCACGGUGCGGGCCCUGGGCGCCGACCGGCUCCUGCUGCACGGGCCCGAGCCCGGCGCCGCGGCGCCCGCCGCCCAGCGCGGCCGCUGCCUCCUGCUGGCCCCGGCGCCCGCCGCCCCGGUCCCGCCGCGCCGGGGCUCCUCGGCCUGGCUGCUGGAGGAGCUGCUGAGGCCCGACUGCCCCGAGCCUGCGGGCCUGGACGCGGCCCGCGAGGGCCCCGACAGAAACUUCCGACUGAGCGAGCACCGCCAGGCCCUGGCCGCCGCCAAGCACCGAGGCCCCGCGCCGCCCCCGGGGAGCCCGGAGCCCAGCCCCGGCCCGUGGGGCGAGGAGCACCCGGCGGACAGGAGCCUCCGGGGCUGGGAGAGGGCGGGCGACCGCAGCGACCCUCCCGCCGCGGACGAGGCACGGCGGCCCGACCCGGAGGCCGAGGCGCCCCCGGCGCGGGGCGGCGAGGCCGCCCAGAGCGGCGGGGCCGAGGCGGUGAUCGUCUCCAGGUCGGAUCCCAGAGACGAGAAACUGGCCCUGUACCUGGCGGAGGUGGAGAGGCAGGACAAGUACCUGCGACAGAGGAAUAAGUACCGUUUUCACAUCAUUCCCGACGGCAACUGCCUCUACCGGGCGGUCAGCAAGACGGUGUACGGGGACCAGAGCCUGCACCGAGAGCUGAGGGAACAGACGGUGCAUUACAUCGCCGAUCACCUUGACCACUUUAGCCCCCUGAUUGAGGGCGACGUGGGGGAGUUCAUCAUCGCUGCUGCUCAAGACGGGGCGUGGGCCGGGUACCCGGAGCUGCUGGCCAUGGGGCAGAUGCUGAAUGUGAAUAUACAUUUAACUACUGGAGGGAGGUUGGAGAGCCCCACGGUGUCUACCAUGAUUCACUAUUUGGGCCCAGAGGAUUCCCUAAGGCCUAGUAUUUGGCUCAGUUGGCUCAGUAAUGGACAUUAUGAUGCGGUGUUCGAUCACUCCUAUCCUAACCCAGAGUAUGACAGUUGGUGCAAACAGACUCAAGUGCAGAGAAAACGCGAUGAGGAACUUGCCAAAUCCAUGGCCAUAUCCCUGUCCAAAAUGUAUAUUGAACAAAAUGCAUGCUCUUGAAGUGGCUGAAAACCCACACCCUGGGAGAAUUGCAUACGUGAUUUGUGUCGGGAGAAUUAUGAACUCUAAUCAGGUGAAAUUUGAACCCUACUGAUGAUAGAAUAGGACUGAAGAAGCAGAAGAACACCGUGAGGAAAUUCUCAGCCGUCGCUUCACCGCCUUGGUCAUCCUGCCGGAAAGUGCCAGACCUGGGGGUGGGGAGGGGCGUUAACAAUUACAUUUUUUUUUUUUAACUUUAACUCUAAACAAUACUCCUAUCUCAAUAAACAGUAGAUGUCUGAAACAGAAACCUCAAACACGACUUAAUCCUACAGGGCUUUAGGACGGAAUUAGAAGAGCGAUUUAAGACGUAUGUUACACUUUUUUUUUUUUUAAGUUUAUUUAUUUAUUUUGAGAGAGAGAGCAUGAGCAGGGGAGGAGGAGAGAGGGGGAGAAAGAGAGGGAAUCCCGAGCAGGCUCUGCGCUGUCAGCCUAGGGCUCGAACUCAGGAACCACGAGACCACCACCACCCGAGCGGAAGUCAAGAGUCAGACCCUUAACUGACUGAGCCACCCAGGCGCCCCAACACUUUUCAAUAUAAAGUAGUUUUCUCGGACAGAUUUUUCAUUACCUUCCCAUAUUGUUGAUGGUGGCUGUUGGCAGAAGUCAGUACUGCUCAGAAUUGAGGCAAUUUGCAGAGAGAUGGCUAGACUAGUUUAGAAAGCGACAGGAACCUACAGAAAUAGACAGUGUGAUUUUAAUAGUUAAGAUAGUUAAGCGAAGCCUGUAACAGAGAGAAACUUCUCUUUCGCUUAACUGUUCCAAAGGGAGCAGUCCAGGCCGGCUGUGCUCCGCAGAGGACACAUUCCCCAGGACACGGUCACGAUGUGCAAGAUCCAAGCUGGGCCACCACGGUGUCUGGAUCGUAGCUCAGAGAAACAGCACACACCCUGAGGUAGCACCCUUCGCUUCUGCUCUUGUCUGUUGGCCCGAAUUUCAUCAUAUGGCCUUAUCUAACUGGCAAAUACCAUCCAGACUGUUCCCAAGAGGAAGGGUAAAUGGGUUUUGGCAGAAAAAUAGCAAUCUUUUCCAAAUCUUUUUUUGACAGGAAUGGUUUAGGGUUACAAUAUCUUUAGGAAGAAAAUUAUAAUAAGGCAGUGUCUGGGAAUAAAAUAUGCAUGAACUUGCUUCACUGAAUUAAUAGUGGCUGCCACGGAGGGCUCCUUAUCAGCUCUCCCACAAUGUGUUUGCCACCGGUUAAAUAUAUACGUGUGCAAAGCCUUCCUUGUUUUAAGAAGGCUGCUAUUUUUCUAUUUCCCUUCCAUUCUUAAUUGUUUUGUAGGAUGUCGGAAAUAUCUUGAAAAUCUGGCCUUCAACACACGUCCUGGGUCUCUUCAGAGAGAACAAUAUAUAAAACUUUUCCCUCUUAUGUUUUCAUAGAUCUUGCUUCUCUGGGAUAUUGCUGGUUUUACUUCUCUCCCUUUCUCUACUUUCUAGUUCUUUUUUAUUUAUAAUUCCUGCCUGGUUGUCCUUUAGAAAGUUUUCUGUGCUUAAAAUAAGGUGAUCUUUACUCAUUUUUACUAAUUUACUAGUUUUACUAAUUUGCUCAGUCUUUAAAAGAAAACGUCUAAACCACACCUAAAGAAGGGGGAAGAACUCACACCAUUAGUGGGUACUUAGUGGACUAGAGGCUCCAUAUAAGUGUCAUAUUUAAAAUGUAAGGAUGAGGCUUACCCUCUUGUAAUUCUUAAUCACUUUCUUAAGGUUAAUAAGAAUCAUCAUAAAUGGGUCAGAGCCGCCAGCAGGAAGCAUAACCCAUCCCAAGAGAUGAUCACGAACGUUCUUGUUGAGAUGGGCGGUCGUCCGGCUGAGUCAGGAGAGCUGUACUAUAAGCAAAGCCUUGUGAGGGGUUCAUCAAAAGAACGUAUUGUCCCAAGAGAAGGAUAGUGCUCUGUGUGAUGUCUAGAGAACAAAGAACCAAGGAAGAAUAUUGGUCAAUGUGUCUCUGUCCAUCUAGGCGAGAAGGUGUCCUGGGCAAGCCACAGUAAUAUGCUGACUAGAUGAGAGAAAUAAAGGAAAACACUUCUUGGAGCGUUUGGUCCCAUUGAUUUCACAAUCGUAAGUUAAAUUCGGUGCUUUACCUGCUUUCCUCAUGGACCCCUCGGGAUAAUCGCACGCAGUAGUGUGGAGCCACUGCCUGCACUCCGAUCUGAGAAUACUGGCUGCUCAGGCUUCGCCUCUCCCUGCCUGCCACACCCGACCCGAGGCGGAUUUCUUUCGGGGGAAAAUAGACCAGAUCAGGAGAAAAGGCCUCCGGGACUCUCAGUUGGGAUCCUCAGGAAAGCAGGCACGCAGAGGGAAGCCACACUGUACACAUAUACCAAACAGCUUCCGUCUCAGAAAUACCAAUGCCAUCGCUCGCCGGGCAUUUAAUAUCGUCUCUAACAUGAACGCGAGACCCCAAUAAUUGACGGAGGAACAGCGGAUGAGAAGGAAAGAGAAAGGAAAGGAUGCAGUGAACAGAAGAAAAUCGAAGAGGAGAAAAAAAAGUGAGUGAAUCUCUAAUUGAUCUCUUCCGAGAAAUAAGAUCUUGGAUCCUGGAGAACAGAGUGCUGCUAUUUUUAAAAAGAAGUCUUGUAAAUUAAAAAUAGCAUAGCUGAUGUUAAAUAUUCAGUAGAAGUUUGGAAGAUAAAGUGGAGGAAAUCUCUCAGAAAGUGGUACAAGGAGACAUGGAAUGAAAAAUAGAGACCCGAUAAGAAAAUGAGGAAACUAAUCUAUGAAGCCCAACAUUUGACUAAUAGGUAUUCCAGAGAUAGAACGAAGACAAUGGGUGAGAAAGAAAGGUUAUACUAAUGAUUUCCCAGAGCUCAAGGAUAGCAACCUCUAGGUUGUAAGGUCCCACAGGAUGUCCACAGUGUCAUCACGGACGGCCAUAUAGGUUGUGUCUGUGAAUGUUAUGGGAAUAGUAUUCCCCAGAGUGGUGCAGUGCACAACAUGUACAACUGUGUGUGGCAGCCCAAUGAAUGCAACCCAUGCCAUGUUAUUUUGAAUAGCUAUUUCAAAGUAUUUGGUAUUAAAAAAAUAGCCUCAUUGCUUUCGAGGAGAAAACGAAGUCAUUUCUCAACAGAAGAACUCAACAGAUUCUCAACUAAGACUUCUCAACAGAAACAUAACCAGGAGACCAUCGAACGAUGCUUUGCAAAUUCAGAAGGAAAAUGAUUUCGAAGCUACAAUUCUAUACCCAGCCAAAUCAGCAUUCUUAAUUGUAAACAGCAGAAUCUAUACGGUUGAUGUAAGCAGAUAAGAAGUUUAUUGACGUUACAUUGUUUGGGUUGUUUAUGGGCUUUUCUGGUAAGAGAAUGCAGGCUUGCACACCAUGUUGCCAGGACCCACACCCAAAGACCAUCGUGGGGACUGUACCUGAGAAAACAUCCACACUACCACACUUCUCCGGAUACCACAGCUUGCAGCAAUGAUGAGUCAGCUCUGUAUCGAGCCAUCCCUCCCCCACAGAGUAGAUCGCCGUCUCCAUAAU